UACGUAGGUGGCAAGCGUUGUCCGGAUUUACUGGGUGUAAAGGGCGUGUAGGCGGGUUUGCAAGUUGGAUGUGAAAUCCUCAGGCUUAACCUGAGAGGGUCAUCCAAAACUGCAGAUCUUGAGUACUGGAGAGGAUAGUGGAAUUCCUAGUGUAGCGGUAAAAUGCGUAGAUAUUAGGAGGAACACCAGUGGCGAAGGCGACUAUCUGGACAGUAACUGACGCUGAGGCGCGAAAGCGUGGGGAGCAAACAGGAUUAGAUACCCGCGUA
rnacentral:rRNA from 1 species